rnacentral:lncRNA from 1 species
UACACCAUUAUAUUGUGUGCUUGUACAGGUAUGUAACAAUGAAUCCCACUGUUGUGUAUGAUUAUAAUUCACAAAUUAAGGGGGUGAAGAAAACUUUACAAGUGCAAUUGAAGAUCUCUGUGUAUCUGCUCCCCAAAGAUAACUGCUUCCUGACCUCACACAGGUAAUUACUAUUUUGAAAUUGUUAAGUAUUAUUCCAAUGCAUUUGUAGGCAUGUUUAUGAUACAUUUCUAAAAUCUACAUGAAUGGUCCAAAAUGCAUGAAUCUUUAUUCCUAUCUCAUAAAUAUCAUCUUGACAUUUUGUGUAUGUUUAAGUAGGUAAAAUAAGUAUGUUUAACUAAGCUGAUGUGUGUGUUACAGUUGAAAAGAACAUGUAACUGCAUGGGGGGAAUCCUGGCCCAAGUAUUCAUUCUUUGAGCAGAUAAGUACUGACGCUGACUGCCUGUCAGAAGGCCCGGACUAGACACCCAAUGGCAAAGAGGUCCGCGUUCCAGGAUCUGCUUGCAGGUGCUACUGCAGCCACACCAACCUUGACCCAUCGACCUCCAGUCCCUCCAGUUCUCUCUCCACUGUCCUCCCAGCCAGGCCCUGCCUCGGUGCGUUCUAGGAAGGAGGCCUGGGUGCAGGGUCCACGUGUGUGAGGUCCAGCGAGCUCCACCUUGCAGUCUCUGCUCCUCCCAUCCUUGACUCCUGCAGCUUUCAAGUCCCCGGGCCCCACAGCUGUGUGACCUCCAUAUAAUCCACAUCUCCACAGUGCAGCCCUCGCAGGGCAGCAGCAUAGACGGGCCUGUGGGCCAUUGGAACCUGCCAGAGCCGGGCAUCGUGCAUGGGGAAUACAACGCUGGUGCUUCCACUUUGAGUUUGUCCUAGUAGCAGACCAGCUCCUGCUGCACACCCUCAGGGGCCUGCGAACUUCAACCGCUUCCAAGUCCCAUGCACAGCCCUUGUGCAUGCCUGGCCUGCGGCCUCCCGCUUCCUCCACAGCACCCUAAUGUAUUUCUCUCUAGUUAAUGUUCAGUGAGCAUUCUCAUUCAAUUGCAUACCAUUACAUUUUUUAUCCACUUUCUGGAGGACAGUUGUUUCUGACCUGUGCAAUGACAGAAAUGUUGCUGUGAAAACAUUAGUUCUACUCUGCUGGCACCUGAUCUCAGACUUCCCCAGGCCACAGAACAGUGAGAAAAACAUGUCUGUGGUUUAAGUGACCCAACCUAUGAUACUUUUGUUAUAACAGUCCAGACUAAGAUAUCAGGCGAAGAUAAUACAUAUAUCUUUCCAAGAACUUAAAAUAUUUCACAGAGGGGUUGAGGCUGUAGCUCAAUGGUGAAGUACUUGUCUUGCAUGCGUGAGGCACUGGGUUCAAUCCUCAGCACUACAUAAAAAUAAAUAAAGAUACUGUGUGUUCAUUUACAACUAAAUAAAUAUUUUUAAAAAUAUAUAUUUCAGGGGACUUUUAGUUGUAGUUUCAGGUGUGCUGAAAUUAUUAGCACAAAUCUCAUUGAAGUUAGUUAUAAUGCCCCAUGAACCAUCCUAAGGAGGAAUGCAAAGUAGUAUUUGAAAAGCAUACUUGUUCUUGAGAUAUGGAAACAUUAGUGCAUGCUUUUUCUAAUGAAAGAGCUUCUCAGAGAAUUUUUGAAAGCUUGUUGAAUGCUUUUUCCUAUUUAAUUAAAAAUAAAGUUUUAUCUGAAAUGGAAAAAAAAAAAACACUAGUUUUGGUCUGCAAA